ACACACACACACACACACACGCACAACACAGUCAGCCCUCUAGUCGGACUCCACCACCAUACAGGAAGGCCAAGCCCAGAGAUUCCUCUGCAGCAUGGCAUUGCCAUCCAUAACGGAGGACAUGGCCCAAGAGGCCUUCAUCAGGUAUGCCGACAGCAAAUGCUGCUACGGUACAGCCCCUGCCGAGGAGGGGGUCAUCACAGGAAUGGAGGCCUUCAACACAUACAAGUAUCGCCUUGUGACUUUCCAGGAGACCAGAACUACUCAGCUGAGCUUUGAACCCUACAAUGGUAAAAUUCCAAAACCAUGACCUAUCAUUAAUCAGUGAAAGUGCUGUUCCACCACUGUUGUUUUUUAUUUGUGUGUUUGUGUGUGUGUGUGUGUGUGUGUGUGUGUGUGUGUGUUAGGGCAACCUGUCGCUACACCCUUCGGAGAAACAGUUGCAUCUAUUUGGGACGUCCCUGUGCAGGCUCCAAACUUCUUCCAGCAACAUGAAGAAAGUGUUAGAU